AAGUGAGAGAAAAGAGGAUAAAUCAGUUGAGAUCGUGUGUGUGCGUCCUUGAGAACUAUAUGAAAGGGGGAGAGAGAUGGGGAAUGACACGCAGCAAAGGGCAGCAUGUCGGAUUCGAACACUACGCCGCUACAGGACUCAGCCAACAUGGGGCGACCGCUCUUACUGGGAAACUGGAAAUGACACGGCAACACCCUGAUAAAGCCAAGAUAGCCACACUCAUUUGGUGAGGGAAUAAAGCAGGGUGCGAACUACGGGGGAGCUAGGGGGAGCUCGGCUCCCCUUAAUAAGACAUGGGCUCCCCUGAAAACGUGAUUUGUGAAAUUUUG